UGAAGAGUUACCACUGUUGGAAGCCUGAGCCUCACCAUACUAUGUACCCUAGGCUCUAAGCCAGAGACUGUAGUAGGUGGUAGGUGCUAUAGAAAAGAGGCUCUGGCUCUGUCUUCCUCCAGCUGAGCCCAACUAGUCCUAUUGCUCCCUCUCACCUUGCUCACUCCAAUGGCUGGCAUGUGGUCAGAAGGCUCCCCGGGGUCUUACUGAGGUGCAAGGCAGGCAGGGCUGGGAUGACUGGUGCAAAGGACAAGCAGAGGCUUCAUUCCUGGCUCCCACUGCACCAAGGCUUCAGCAAUGUUCAGCAGACACAAUAAUUCCCACAUGUGCCACCCAUGACCUCUCCAGUCCUAACAGUCCUGCACCAGGCACUCAAAACUGACUGGAGAAGUAGCACUUUGGGAAGAUGGCCACUUCCUUCUCAAAACAGCUUUCAGGCUGCAGAUGUCAUCAAAGGUCCACUGUGUGCCAGCCACCAGAUGCAAGGGAGAUAGUCCCCCUUCCCUUCUCCUUCCUUUUCCUCUCCCUUCUUCCAUCCCUCCCUUCUCUCUAGAGCUUAAGUUCUGAUGGACAAAGAUAGACAAUGAACAAAUGAAGAGGGACUUGAAUCCACAAGCAGAUGUUAGACUUCAACACCAGGAAGAAACUAAGAAAGUGAUUAACACACCGCUCCAUCGACUGACUGUUAAGCAUCCUGGGAAUAGUGGACCUUGCUGUUUUCCACUACCAUGGCGUCUCAAGCAAAACUUCGGGCACAUCUGCCAGUGGUUUCCUGGCUGUGACUUGCUGAACUUGUUGGCAGACCAUAAGGCCAUUCCUGGCCAAUCAAUGUGAUCAAAAGUGGUAAGUAUCAUUUCUUGGAUAAAGUAGUUGUGGCCGUUUCCUAUGAGCUGGCCUCACAGUGUGGAGAGUAUUCUAGAAGAGAGAUCUAAAAGACCCUGAACCCUAGAAGGAUUUCAGCAAAGCCUGGCUAAGCAGAAGUUCCACAGUGAGAGAACAUUUUCUUAUAGUCUGUCUGUCGUGGCACCCAUCUGUCCUUUGACUAUGGCAGACUAUGGACCAUCAGUACACCAGGAGCAGGGCAUGUGUCAUCUCAGUGUACCUGUGAGAUGGAUAUAUGGAGUCAAGGAAGAGGCUCAGAAACAAGACAUGCCUCAUCCAAAGCAGCAGGACAAAGGAUAGAGGUAGAAUGUGUCUCCUAUGGUGUCUAGGACCAGACAAGCCCAUACAUGGUGUUAGGAAGCUAUCUUUCCACAAUCUGUUUUUCCUCUCCUGAGUUGAUCCACCCCGAAGACUUGGACUUCUGCUGUCUUUUGCCUGAGCUCAGGGACUCUGUUCUAUUGUAUUGUCUUUCCAAACCUAGUCACCUUCCUCACACUUGUGAAUGGAGUCUGAGGCACCACCCUGUAGGGAAAGUUCCUAGAGGAACUGACCUGUUGCCAUACUGACCCCAUCUCUCAGUGGCACUUAUGGAAGAGAGAAUGUGGUGUCUAUUCCAGGAGGCAAGACUAGGUACAGAUACACAUAACUCCAGACAAGGGCAGGGCAACAUUCAAAGGU
rnacentral:lncRNA from 1 species